CAAAACUGAGGUGCGGUGAUUGGCACCUCGCUAAACCAGUCAGUGACUCCUGGCCUGUUCUGGGUUAUAACAUCGCCUGUGAUUGAAGGAGAGAGACGAGGGAGGGCUCAUUUUGCUCGGAAGAGACCAUUCUAUAGGAAACAAAAGCUGGAAUACGAAUUAGAAUCGAUAUUUCUUUGAAAAUGGACGCUAUCGACAACUAUAACUCGAAUCGCUCAUGUAAACAAAGGAGGAUCUUUCGUUUUUUCCCCUAUUUUUUCGUUGUUUUGGAUUAAAAAGUGGGAUGCAUCUUGAAGAGUAGACCCUUACCUUGAAAUGUGUGCUGGUGUUUCUUGGAAUAGUCCGAGCAGACCAGAACUAUAGGCGAUGAAACGUAAGUACUGCCGUGCACUUUGUACAUGUUUAAAUGACCGGUCCUUCAGCAUUUAUGUUAACCCUUUCCUCUCUGGUGUAUUGAUUUAAAAAACAAGCUCAGAACAUGGAUAUUGAGUGUUUUAGCCUUCAAAUGAUAUAUAGUUUAUGAUAGUUAAUUGAAUAUUUUUCUAAAACAACGGUUAUAAAAUUCACAGCCGCGCCUAGACGCGCCCUUCGGGCCGGUGCGGGUUAAGAGGUUUUAACCAUUAUCCAGUAUUUUUGUUGUUUACUUGUUUGAUUUAUGGCUGUUUAACAAUAAUGCAAGACUGUUAGGAAAAAAAAAGUACUGCCACAGCUCUGACUUCCAUGCAUCAACGGUGGAACACAUGAAGCUCACUCCUGGAAGAGCUGGUGCCAUAGAUUCUGGGAGAACUCUCAACAAGCUCUAACUUGGCUGCAAGGUGAUGUCCAGGGACGAGCAGAAAAGACAUGGAAUUCACGGCCAGAUGACGUCAAAGACGUCCGUUCAACUUUCAUUUUGGAACUAUUUUUCAACCAUGACUGGAUGUGAUGGAGGGGCGUCUUUUCAACAGUCAUUAAAUGUCCAAAUGUUUGCUGGGACAUUUUCAAAACUGUUCAUACAGCCUGCAUUACCAACAUGAAUCUUGGCCGAACACUUGAGCUCACCUCCAAAACUCACUCAGACCAAAAAAACACUUCAUAUAUGUCUCAAAAUAAGCUUGUUUCACCAUAACACUGGCAACAGUUCUCAAUCAGAAAAUUUGCUGAGAGUUUGUAAGUUCGUCAUGUGUUGACGUUGUGUCUUCCUUUAUCCAUGUUUCCAAAAAAAAUCAUUCUGAAGGCAUCCAUCCCAUCAAAAAGAUCACACACACACACACACAACUACAAAUAGGGCAUCUGGCUUGGCAUUCAGCUGAAAUUGAAGGUAGUUGUGUUAGUCCAAAUUAUUUUAUUAUUAUUCAAUUUCACGGUUAAUAUUCUGCUAAGAUUUUAUAUUUUAAUGUAAUUCCUGCAGAAACAGACAGAGUUUACCAUUGUUUUGAUUUGAAUGUGUUUUUAUCAGUUUUGAAAGCAGUGUGUUAGCAUUUGAAAAAUGUACUGAAAAUAUAUAGUGUUUUGCAGGUUGUGGAAUAUGAAUGACAAAAGUGUUUGUGCAUUUUGAGAAAUGUGGUCAUUGAUUGCCUUUUGUCUCAAAGCAAUGAAAAAUGAUUCACAGUUUGUUUAGCAAAGACUACUGUACCACUGAAUGUGUGAACAGGUUUGAAAAUGUGGCUUCAGUAUUGAACAAUGCUUGUUAGCAAUUGAAAAAAAACCCUGUAAAUGUGACUAGAAGUUUGUAAAACAUUUUAUAUCAAAGGUGUCCAGCAGGGGGCGCUGAUACACAGUGAUACACAUUAUGGGCAAAGGCCUCCAGACAGAACAAUAUACUGUAAUGCAGAGCUACAAGUGCAUCUAAACAACAAUUAGGUGCAAAUAAAUUAACCGGAAGUUG